UUUUUGAAAAUUUGAUUUUGUAUCUCCAGAUGUCUUACGUGCACAAUGUCGGAAGAUAGAUGAGAACUCCCAACGAUUCUUGUAAAGCGUCUGAAGUUUGGGAUACGCCGACGCCUCCCAUAAUAUAUGCGUCAACAGUUUUAUGGGGAAUUUUUGACGCAUAUCGAGUUAUGUCGGGAGUGUGCCUUUAAAGUCCAUUUCUAGAUCUGUAUUUCACAGAUUUGCGAAGAAGGGAAAGCCAACUAAGAACGAACGAACGACCACCACUGCCGCAAGUUUCACCAUGCCACCAUCGUCUUCGUCGCCUACCUCGUCUCUUAGGAUGCCACCCUUGUCCUUCAAUGUAGCCGUCGCCACCCUUAACUCUUCAGGUUUGAAAAGGUGGGGAAAGGUCCAAUGAAUGAAAAUAUAUAUUAAUUGGAGGGGAAAAUUACAUUACAGAAGUUUGAGAGACUCACCUGUGAAUCUAAAACCUUGAAGUGAUGCGCUAGAUUUCCUCACUCCGUAGCUUCAAUCUCUUCGUCGAGACCAUGGAGGAGAUAUUUCACAAGUCAAGAAUAUACACCAAUCGAGCCCAUCCCCGAGCUCCACAUGUUUUGGUUGAGGGUUUUGGAUUGUAUUCUUUGCAGCAACAGGUAGAUUAUUUUUCUUCUUUUUCUUUUCAAGAUUUCCAAGCUCGGGACUCUCUUAUAUAUUCUUUUAUUUUCUCCUUUGUUUCAUAAGAUUUGAAUGUGUGUGGUUUGUGGUGCUGGCUACUCAUACUGUUCUAGCGAGAUUCUGUUGUCAAUUGAUUAAUGUAAAAUGCAAGAGGAUGUGCUUCUAGUUAAUUUUUAGAAAGAUAAAAUAAAAUGAAGAGAUGAUGUUCACAAGUUGA